CUCAAAACGCUAUACAGCGAACGAGAAGGCGCUAGGAGCAAAGGAAAUGGUUUUUCUAACAAACUCAUAUAAUCAAGUGCACGACGUACUCCAAUUUGAUUUUUUUCACGUAGUUAGACGUAAUAUAGUACUAUGAAAUGUUUCUGACCCAAAAUAUUACGAAAUAUGAUUGUUUACAUUAAAAUGCAAAAGUUGAUGAAAAAGUAUGAUAAGGUGAAAAAAGUGACAUUUUAUGUCUAGAAAGUCACUUUUCAUCAAAAGUACAAUAACAAAACUAGUUCCCAUUCAUGCUGUGUCCAGACACUCUGGUGCUCUUUAUAUGCUCAAAACGCUAUACAGCGCUUCAGAAGGCGCUAGGAGCAAAGGAAAGCGGUUUUUCUAACAAACUCAUGUAAUCAAUUGCCCGACCUACUCCAAUAUGAUAUUUUUCACAUAUGUACACAUAAUAUAGUAUUAUGAACUGUUUCUGACCUAAAAUAUUACGAAAUAUGAUUGUUUACAUUAAAAUGUAAAACUCGAUAACAAAGUAUGAUAAGGUGAAAAAAGUGACAUUUUAUGUCUAGAAAGUCACUUUUCAUCAAAAGUACAAUAACAAAACUAGUUCCCAUUCAUGCUGUGUGUCCAGACACUCUGGUGCUCUUUAUAUGCUCAAAACGCUAUACAGCGCUUCAGAAGGCGCUAGGAGCAAAGGAAAGUGGUUUUUCUAACAAACUCAUGUAAUCAAUUGCCCGA
ensembl:lncRNA